rnacentral:rRNA from 1 species
CCUACCUUGGAUAAACUUGCUGGGCGAUUGUAGCCAUGGAAAGGGAAGCUCAUGACCAAGCUGGGACGGUGCUUGCUUGUAAAUUCUGUCCUCACAGCAACUCUCACGUACAUCCUUACCUCCUUUGAUCUGAGUGCUUGGUUCAUUAAGAGGAUUGACAAGCUGAGGCGGGGCUUUUUGUGGGCUGGCGAAGAGGUUGCCCAUGGAGGGAAAUGCAUGGUGUCCUGA